rnacentral:rRNA from 1 species
CCUACGGGAGGCAGCAGUGGGGAAUAUUGGGCAAUGGGCGCAAGUCUGACCCAGCAACGCCGCGUGAGGGAAGAAGGCUUUCGGGUUGUAAACUUCUUUUCUCAGGGAAGAAGCAAGUGACGGUAGCUGAGGAAUAAGCCACGGCGAACUACGUGCCAGCAGCCGCGGUAAUACGUAGGUGGCAAGCGUUAUCCGGAUUUACUGGGUGUAAAGGGCGGGUAGGCGGGACUGCAAGUCAGAUGUGAAAACCACGGGGCCAACCUGUGGCCUGCAUUUGAAACUGUAGUUCUUGAGUACUGGAGAGGCAGACGGAAUGCGUGGUGUAGCGGUGAAAUGCGUAGAUAUUAGGAGGAACACCAGUGGCGAAGGCGGUCUGCUGGACAGCAACUGACGCUGAGGCGCGAAAUCGUGGGGAGCAAACAGGAUUAGAUACCCCUGUAGUC